GUAAACUAGUGGUUCUGUGCGCAAUACUACACAAUAUCGCGGUAAGGAGUAGCGUAGAGCUUCCUCAGACAGAGGAAUUGCCUGAUGAGGAGCCAGGGGUUGUUCGACACUUCGGUGGGGGGAGUGUUACACGGAGGGGGAGCCAAGUCAGGGCAAGCAUUGUUGCUGAAUAUUUCAGCUGAAUGAUCACACAAACUGUGGACGAGAACAACGGCAGACCUCUCAGCCCCCUUCCCCUUCCCAGUCCCCCUCCCCUUCUCACUCCCCCUCCCCUUCGCAGUCCUCCUCAGCUUCCCAGUCCCCCUCAGCUACCCAGUCCCCCUCAGCUUCCCAGUCCCCCUCAGCUACCCAGUCCCCCUCAGCUUCCCAGUCCCCCUCAGCUUCCCAGUCCCCCUCAGCUUCCCAGGCCCACUCCACUUUCCACUCCCCUUCUCACACCACCUCUCUAUCUCUUUCUGUGACCCCUUCUCCUCCUUCCCAUACCCCUUCUCCUUCAACUUCAAACUCACCUUCUCAGCCCCCCUCACCCUCUAUUGGCUUAACUUUCUCUCCGCCCCCCUCGCCCUCUCAAUCAGACCCACCCUCUGAAAUUACAUCCCCAAUCCAGCCUCCUUCCCCCAUCCAGCCUCCUUCCCCCAUCCCUCCUCUUUCCCCAAUCCCUCC